rfam:Triticum aestivum genome assembly, contig: Triticum_aestivum_CS42_TGACv1_scaffold_374160_5AL
CUGCUACCCCCUCCGUUCCGAAUUACUUGUCGCAUGUAUGGAUGUACCUAGAUGUAUUUUAGUUCUAAAUACAUCCAUUUCUGCGACGAGUAAUUUGGAACGGAGGGAGUACUUA